GAUGAAGAACGUAGCGAAAUGCGAUAAGUAAUGUGAAUUGCAGAAUUCAGUGAAUCAUCGAAUCUUUGAACGCACAUUGCGCCCGCCAGUGUUCUGGCGGGCAUGCCUGUCCGAGCGUCAUUUCAACCCUCGAACCCCUCCGGGGGGUCGGCGUUGGGGAUCGGGAACCCCUAAGACGGGAUCCCGGCCCCGAAAUACAGUGGCGGUCUCGCCGCAGCCUCUCCUGCGCAGUAGUUUGCACAACUCGCACCGGGAGCGCGGCGCGUCCACGUCCGUAAAACACCCAACUUCUGAAAUGUUGACCUCGGAUCAGGUAGGAAUACCCGCUGAACUUAAGCAUAUCAAUAAGCGGAGGA
rnacentral:misc_RNA from 1 species